CGACAGACAGGCGAAGGCGCCCUUGCCUCUUCUCUCCGCUGAGUGGCAGUAGUUCAGCCAAAUGCCCCGUGCAGCUCUGACUUUGCCUUCAAGAGGGCCGCGUCCAAUAUCCUCACAAGGAAUUGCUAAAGAGAAUUGUUCAGGCUAAAGGAAAAAUGACCUCAGAUGGAAGUGCAGAAAUGCUGGAAUAAAUUAAGAGCAAUGGAAAGGACAAAUGCAAGGCUCUGCUGGCCUGGAAUGGACGAAGGGCCUAAUGUAAAGGAACGCAGGAUGCCUGACUUUGGCCUUGUCUCCAGUUUGUCACCCCCACUAAGCUCUGCAGAGGCAGAGACUUUGACAGCAACAUGAAUACCUCUUGCUUGAGACUGGCCUGGUAUUGUGGGCUAUUAUUGUCUUCAGAAAAUGAGUGUGUGAGCCACCAUGUUGAAGUCUUGAGCAUAAGACUCUAG
ensembl:lncRNA